GAUGAAGAACGUAGCGAAAUGCGAUAAAUAAUGUGAAUUGCAGAAUUCAGUGAAUCAUCGAGUCUUUGAACGCACAUUGCGCCCCCUGGUAUUCCGGGGGGCAUGCCUGUCCGAGCGUCAUUGCUGCCCUCAAGCACGGCUUGUGUGUUGGGCCCCCGUCCCCCCCUCCCGGGGGACGGGCCCGAAAGGCAGCGGCGGCACCGCGUCCGGUCCUCGAGCGUAUGGGGCUUUGUCACCCGCUCUGUAAGCCCGGCCGGCGCCUGCCGACCACCAUCAAUCUUUUUUCAGGUUGACCUCGGAUCAGGUAGGGAUACCCGCUGAACUUAAGCAUAUCAAUAAGCGGAGGA
rnacentral:misc_RNA from 1 species